AGAGUUUGAUCCUGGCUCAGAUUGAACGCUGGCGGCGUGCCUAACACAUGCAAGUCGAGCGGUAACAGGUGUAGCAAUACAUGCUGACGAGCGACGAACGGGUGAGUAAUGCUUUGGAAUCUUCCCAGUAGUGGGAAUAACCAGUCGAAAGAUUGGCUAAUACCGCAUACGUCUGUAAAGGGAAAGCGGGGGCUCGUAAGACCUCGCGCUAUUGGAUGAGCCAAAGUCGGAUUAGCUAGUUGGUGGGGUAAUGGCCUACCAAGGCGACAAUCCGUAGCUGGUCUGAGAGGACGACCAGCCACACCGGAACUGAGACACAGUCCGGACUCCUACGGGAGGCAGCAGUGGGGAAUAUUGGACAAUGGGGGAAACCCUGAUCCAGCGACGCCGCGUGUGUGAAGAAGGCCUGCGGGUUGUAAAGCACUUUUAGUGGGGACAAAAAGCUACGGAUUAAUACUCUGUGGUCUUGAUUUAACCCAAAGAAAAAGCACCGGCUAACUCUGUGCCAGCAGCCGCGGUAAUACAGAGGGUGCGAGCGUUAAUCGGAAUUACUGGGCGUAAAGCGCGCGUAGACGGUUUUGUGAGUCAGAUGUGAAAUCCCUGGGCUCAACCUGGGAACUGCAUUUGAGACUGCAUGGCUAGAGUAUGGAAGAGGGAAGUGGAAUUUCCGGUGUAGCGGUGGAAUGCGUAGAUAUCGGAAGGAACACCAGUGGCGAAAGCGACUUCCUGGUCCAAUACUGACGUUCAUGUGCGAAAGCGUGGGGAGCAAACAGGAUUAGAUACCCUGGUAGUCC
rnacentral:rRNA from 1 species